AGAGCGAACGCUGGCGGCAGGCCUAACACAUGCAAGUCGAACGGAUCCUUCGGGAUUAGUGGCGGACGGGUGAGUAACACGUGGGAACGUGCCUUUGGUUCGGAACAACUCAGGGAAACUUGAGCUAAUACCGGAUGUGCCCUUCGGGGGAAAGAUUUAUCGCCAUUAGAGCGGCCCGCGUCUGAUUAGUUUGUUGGUGAGGUAAAGGCUCACCAAGGCUACGAUCAGUAGCUGGUCUGAGAGGAUGAUCAGCCACAUUGGGACUGAGACACGGCCCAAACUCCUACGGGAGGCAGCAGUGGGGAAUCUUGCGCAAUGGGCGAAAGCCUGACGCAGCCAUGCCGCGUGAAUGAUGAAGGUCUUAGGAUUGUAAAAUUCUUUCACCGGGACGAUAAUGACGGUACCCGGAGAAGAAGCUCCGGCUAACUUCGUGCCAGCAGCCGC
rnacentral:rRNA from 1 species